AACCUUUCGAGUCGACGCAGAGAUUUCGUCGGACACCAGAACAUCAUAACUGGUUAGACUUCCGAGAUAAGUGAAGUA
rnacentral:pre_miRNA from 1 species